rnacentral:rRNA from 1 species
ACGCUCGACACCUACGAGAGGCAGCAGUGGGGAAUAUUGCACAAUGGGGGAAACCCUGAUGCAGCGACGCCGCGUGAGCGAAGAAGUAUUUCGGUAUGUAAAGCUCUAUCAGCAGGGAAGAAACUGACGGUACCUGACUAAGAAGCACCGGCUAAAUACGUGCCAGCAGCCGNGGUAAUCUGAGCGGGCUGGCAAGGC